CCCUUCCAGGACCCUUAUAACCCACCCCAAUAGCCCUUUACCCUUCCAGGACCUUUCCAACCCACCCCAAUAACCCCAAUGUCCCUUUCCCCUUCCAGGACCUUCCCAUCCCAUUCAAAGCCCCAUUUUGCCCUUCCAGGACCUUUAUAACCCACCCCAAUGCCCCUUUACCCUUCCAGGACCCUCCCAACCCACCCCAUCUAUUCAUCUCAUGCCCCUUUACCCUUCCAGGACCUUUCUAACCCACCCAACCCAUUCACCCCCUGUCCCUUUCCCCUUCCAGGACCCUUAUAACCCAUUCAAAGCCCCAUUUUCCCCUUCCAGGACCUUCCCAACCCAUUCAAUGCCCCUUUAACCUUCCAGGACCCUCCCAUUCAUUUAAUGCCCCUUUAACCUUCCAGGACCUUCCCAACCCAACUCAACUACUCCAUGCUGUGACCUUCCAGGACCUUCCCAUCCCAUUCAAUGCCCCAUUUUCCCCUUCCAGGACCCUUAUAACCCAUUUAAUGCCCCAUUUUCCCCUUCCAGGACCCUUAUAACCCAUCCAAUGCCCCUUUACCCUUCCAGGACCCUCCCAACCCAACCACCCCAAAGCCCCUUUAACCUUCCAGGACCCUUCUAACCCAAUUAACCUACCCCAAAGCCCCUU
rnacentral:lncRNA from 1 species